rnacentral:rRNA from 1 species
AUUGAACGCUGGCGGCAUGCCUUACACAUGCAAGUCGAACGGCAGCACGGGUGCUUGCCCCUGGUGGCGAGUGGCGAACGGGUGAGUAAUACAUCGGAACAUGUCCUGUAGUUGGGGAUAGCCCGGCGAAAGCCGGAUUAAUACCGCAUACGAUCUACGGAUGAAAGCGGGGGACCUUCGGGCCUCGCGCUAUAGGGUUGGCCGAUGGCUGAUUAGCUAGUUGGUGGGGUAAAGGCCUACCAAGGCGACGAUCAGUAGCUGGUCUGAGAGGACGACCAGCCACACUGGAACUGAGACACGGCCAAGACUCCUAAGGGAGGCAGCAGUGGGGAAUUUUGGACAAUGGGCGAAAGCCUGAUCCAGCAAUGCCGCGUGUGUGAAGAAGGCCUUCGGGUUGUAAAGCACUUUUGUCCGGAAAGAAAUCCUUGGCCCUAAUACGGUCGGGGGAUGACGGUACCGGAAGAAUAAGCACCGGCUAACUACGUG